GCCGGCUUAGCUCAGUUGGUAGAGCAGCUGAUUUGUAAUCAGCAGCACAUAGUUUUCAUCCCGUUUCA
rnacentral:tRNA from 1 species